rnacentral:tRNA from 1 species
GGGGAUUUGGCUCAGUAGUAGAGCACUUGCCUAGGAAGCGCAAGGUCCUGGGUUCGAUCCCCAGCCCCG